rnacentral:rRNA from 1 species
CAGUCGAGCGAACAGAAGGGAGCUUGCUCCCAGAUGUUAGCGGCGGACGGGUGAGUAACACGUGGGUAACCUGCCUGUAAGACUGGGAUAACUCCGGGAAACCGGAGCUAAUACCGGAUAGUUCCUUGAACCGCAUGGUUCAAGGAUGAAAGACGGUUUCGGCUGUCACUUACAGAUGGACCCGCGGCGCAUUAGCUAGUUGGUGGGGUAAUGGCUCACCAAGGCGACGAUGCGUAGCCGACCUGAGAGGGUGAUCGGCCACACUGGGACUGAGACACGGCCCAGACUCCUACGGGAGGCAGCAGUAGGGAAUCUUCCGCAAUGGACGAAAGUCUGACGGAGCAACGCCGCGUGAGUGAUGAAGGUUUUCGGAUCGUAAAGCUCUGUUGUUAGGGAAGAACAAGUGCGAGAGUAACUGCUCGCACCUUGACGGUACCUAACCAGAAAGCCACGG